rnacentral:rRNA from 1 species
GACGAACGCUGGCGGCGUGCCUAAUACAUGCAAGUAGAACGCAGUUGCGAACGGGUGAGUAACGCGUAGGUAACUGCCUCAUAGCGGGGGAUAACUCUUGGAAACGAUAGCUAAUACCGCAUACUGUGAGAUGUAACUGCGUUGUAUUAGCUAGUUGGUGGGGUAAAGGCUCACCAAGGCGACGAUACAUAGCCGGCCUGAGCGGGGGAUCGGCCCCACUGGGACUGGGAAACGGCCCAGACUUCUUCGGGAGGCAGCAGUAGGGAAUCUUCGGCAAUGGACGGAAGUCUGACCGAGCAACGCCGCGUGAGUGAAGAAGGUUUUCGGGUUGUAAAGCUCUGUUGAUCGGGAAGCGGUAACUGAACAGAAAGGCACGGCUAACUACGUGCCAGCAGCCGCGGUAAUAC